UUUCAGGGCUGACACUUUCUAUUGGAUAACCAAUGAGAGUGCUUAUUCUGCCAAAGGCUAAUUUUCCCUCUCCUAGCAGCCAGUAGUUGCAUGGAGUUAUUUGUCUAGCGGUGAGGACCCCAGGAAUCUCCCCCCUUUCCUGUUAACACAUGUACUGAUUUCACCUGUUUCACUCUUGUUUGUGCAGUUGUUUCUAGGAAAGUCUGUUUUCCUUGUUUUCAAACCUGCGCUCAUUGCAACACUUGUGAAAUGUACUGUAUUCUAUUGUAUCCACAAAGGAGACUCUCUACAGUUCUGAACUCAUUCGUUUUUCCCAAUGUCCUCUGAUUUGCCAACUUUUUCUCAUAGUCUCUGCAGAACCUAUACGACUAAGAUCCACAGAUUCUUCAUACACCCUGGACAGAACACUGUAACGGUGGAAGCAUCUCCCAUUUACAUGUGGAAGAAGUCCUGGGAACAAGGCGACAGAAGUCCUGAGAUUAGAAGUGUUCAGCAAAUGUCAGAUGUGACUCAUCUAGUCAUGAAACCCAUAUGGGGACAGUUUUCUCCAGCUAUUGGAGAAAUAGGAACUUGUUCCACUAUUGCUGACUUUAUAGCUAGAGAAAGUCACAACAAGCAACAAGGGAGGAGUGACCGAUGAUGAUGUGUACAAUACAGAUUUAAUGUAAUCAUCAAAACCUAUACUUGAAAUAAAUGGGUUGUGUGUUUACCAUGGAAAAGUUAACAAAAACAUUGGAGAAAAUAUGUGGAACCAGAUGAUUCGUG
rnacentral:lncRNA from 1 species